AGAUUGAGAGGGAAGAUGAAAGGGGAGGAGUAAUAAAAGUGAAAACAAAAACUAAAAACUGAAAUAUAUUUGAAAUUGUUUUCACUUUCAAGUUUUUGUUUCACUUUUAUUACCUCUCCCUCCCAUCCUCCCCUCCAGUACUC
rnacentral:miRNA from 1 species